rnacentral:rRNA from 1 species
GACUGCUAUCGGAUUGAUACUAAGCCAUGCGAGUCAUUGUAGUAAUACAAGGCAGACGGCUCAGUAACGCGUAGUCAACCUAACCUAUGGACGGGAAUAACCUCGGGAAACUGAGUAUAAUGCCCGAUAGAACAUUAUGCCUGGAAUGGUUUAUGUUCCAAAUGAUUUAUCGCCGUAGGAUGGGACUGCGGCCUAUCAGUUUGUUGGUGAGGUAAUGGCCCACCAAGACUAUUACAGGUACGGGCUCUGAGAGGAGUAGCCCGGAGAUGGGUACUGAGACACGGACCCAGGCCCUAUGGGGCGCAGCAGGCGAGAAAACUUUGCAAUGUGCGAAAGCACGACAAGGUUAAUCCGAGUGGUUUCUGCUAAAGGAACCUUUUGUCGGUCCUAGAAACACCGAUGAAUAAGGGGUGGGCAAGUUCUGGUGUCAGCCGCCGCGGUAAAACCAGCACCUCAAGUGGUCAGGAUGAUUAUUGGGCCUAAAGCAUCCGUAGCCGGCUCUGUUAGUUUUCGGUUAAAUCUGUACGCUUAACGUACAGGCUGCCGGGAAUACUGCAAAGCUAGGGAGUGGGAGAGGUAGACGGUACUCGGUAGGAAGGGGUAAAAUCCUUUGAUCUAUUG